rnacentral:rRNA from 1 species
GACGAACCGUGCAAACGUUAUUCGGAAUCACUGGGCAUAAAGGGCGCGUAGGCGGCUCCAAAAGUCAGGGGUGAAAUCCGGCAGCUUAACUGUCGCAGUGCCUUUGAUACUGUGGAGCUAGAGGGAGGUAGGGGUCUGUGGAACUUCCGGUGGAGCGGUGAAAUGCGUUGAUAUCGGAAGGAACGCCGGUGGCGAAAGCGACGGACUGGAUCUCAUCUGACGCUGAGGCGCGAAAGCCAGGGGAGCAAACAGG